rnacentral:rRNA from 1 species
GACGAACGCUGGCGGCGUGCCUAAUACAUGCAAGUAGGACGCAGUUGCGAACGGGUGAGUAACGCGUAGGUAACUACCUAUUAGCGGGGGAUAACUAUUGGACACGAUAGCUACUCCCGCAUCCUAGUGGAUGGACCUUCCUUGUAUUAGCUAUGAGAUAGGGUAAGGGCCUACCUAGGCCACGUUACAUAGCCGACCUGAGAGGGGGAUCGGACACACUGUGACGGGGAAGCGGCCCAGACUUCUAAGGGAGGCAGCAGUAGGGAAUCUUCGGCAAUGGGGGGAACCCUGAACAAGCAACGCCGCGUGAGGGAAGAAGGUUUUCGGAUCGUAAAGCUCUGUUGUUAAGGAAGCGGUACUUAACCAGAAAGGGACGGCUAACUACGUGCCAGCAGCCGCGGUAAUAC